AGCGAACGCUGGCGGCAGGCCUAACACAUGCAAGUCGAACGAACUCUUCGGAGUUAGUGGCGGACGGGUGAGUAACACGUGGGAACGUGCCCUUAGGUUCGGAAUAACCCAGGGAAACUUGUGCUAAUACCGAAUGUGCCCUUCGGGGGAAAGAUUUAUCGCCUUUAGAGCGGCCCGCGUCUGAUUAGCUAGUUGGUGAGGUAAAGGCUCACCAAGGCGACGAUCAGUAGCUGGUCUGAGAGGAUGAUCAGCCACAUUGGGACUGAGACACGGCCCAAACUCCUACGGGAGGCAGCAGUGGGGAAUCUUGCGCAAUGGGCGAAAGCCUGACGCAGCCAUGCCGCGUGAAUGAUGAAGGUCUUAGGAUUGUAAAAUUCUUUCACCGGGGACGAUAAUGACGGUACCCGGAGAAGAAGCCCCGGCUAACUUCAUGCCAGCCGCCGCAGUAA
rnacentral:rRNA from 1 species